UUUCCGUAGGUGAACCUGCGGAAGGAUCAUUAAAAAAUUGGACUCCAUUGGUGAGUUCAUUAAUAAUCCCUACCCUUUGUGAAUUUGUUUGUUUGAAUAAUUUUUUUCCAAAAAAAAUUAUUGAAUGUCUUUCCUUGUUUUGGUGGAGCUUGUAAAGUGAAACCAGGCAGGGGAAUGGCAAACAAUAAUUAUUUUUGAAAAAGACCUUUUUUUAAAAUUAAACUUUUUGUAUUCAUUUGUCUAAAAUUAAUUUUUAUAAUAUAAAAACAACUUUUGACAAUGGAUCUCUUGGUUCUCGCAACGAUGAAGAACGCAGCAAAAUGCGAUAAGUAGUGUGAAUUGCAGAGUACGUGAAUCAUCGAAUCUUCGAACGCAUAUUGCACUUUUUUAGUUUACUAAAAAAGUAUGUCUGUUUGAGUAUCAGUAAAAUAUUCUCAUAAAAAACAUUGUUUUUUUUAUGGUUAUGAGUGUUUUACAACGAUAACAAGUUGUUUCACUUUAAAUUCUUUGUUAUCAAAAAAAUCAUUAAAAGCUAAUUUUAAAGAUUUUUUAAAAUUGGAUAAAAUUUUCCCGUAAAAAGGAAUAACCUAAACAAUUUUAAAAAAUUAAAAUUGGUUUGAUUUUUUUUGAAACCCAAAGGAAAAAAAAACGAAAUUAACUUGAUCUCAAAUCAGAUAAGAGUACCCGCUGAACUUAAGCAUAUCAAUAAGCGGAGGAAAAGAAACUAACUAGGAUUCCCUCAGUAACGGCGAGUGAAGCGGGAAGAGCUCAAAUUUGAAAUCUUCAAGGUUUUACCUUGACGAAUUGUAGUUUAAAGAAGUGUUUUCUGUUGGAGUUUUGGUAAAAGUUCUUUGGAAAAGGACAUCAUAGAGGGUGAGAAUCCCGUAUUUGACCAUUAUCUCCAGCUUUGUGAUACACUUUCAAAGAGUCGGAUUGUUUGGGAAUGCAGUCCAAAAUGGGUGGUAAAUUUCAUCUAAAGCUAAAUACUGGCGAGAGACCGAUAGCGAACAAGUACCGUGAGGGAAAGAUGAAAAGAACUUUGAAAAGAGAGUUAAACAGUACGUGAAAUUGUCAAAAGGGAAGCGUUUGACACCAGUGUUGUUUUCUCGAAAAUCAAUUAAAAAAGGCCGGAUUUUGUGUUGUAUUGACUUUAUCAGCUUUCUGCACUCUUUUCUUGUCUUUUUUAAUGCACUUUUCGUUUAACAAGUCAACAUCAAUUUCUUUUGUUGUAAAAGGGUCAUUGGAAGGUGGCUUUCUUUUCGGAGAAAGUGUUUAUAGCCUUUGGCCUCUGCAAUCGGAGAGAUUGAGGUCUGCAGCGUAGAUCCUUCGGGGUUAGAUACAUUUGUGCUAAGCUAUAGCCUUUCAUAGACAACUUGUUGACUAUGAUCAGCCAUGUAGCUUACUCGCUUAUGCUAUUUUACCUACGCUUAGGAUGUUGAG
rnacentral:misc_RNA from 1 species